CAACCAACAAAGGCUCUUUCUUUGUUCCCAAAUUUUCCUUUUUACUGGCUUUGAAACCUCCAUAGAUACCCAGACUUUCCUUGACACUAUCAGUGUUCUGGUCACCAUUGCUCUUUCUCCCUAUCUUGGUUGCAAGGGUGAUCCAGUGCCUUGUAAGCAUUGCAAUGGUAUGAAUUAAUGUUACUCUCUUCUUAUAUAUUUGUUUUGAUUUUACUUUACUAUAUACGAUUGUAUUUUGUUUUGUUUUGAGUAAAAAGGCUGCUAAAAUAUUAGAUGGUUUUAAGAUGGUGCAAUUUCAUACCCAAUUAUUUUUAGGGUAAAUAUAUUUAAUAUAUUCAAAAUAUUAUACUUUUAUAUUCAAAUUUUAUUUUUGCAGUAAAUAUACAUCAUAUUUUUAAAAUAUUACAUUUAUAUACUUAUUUUUUUAAAUUAUUUUGAAAAAUAAUAAAAAAAUGAAAAAAAAAUAUAUGAUUUUAGUUAUUUUUAAAAUUUUAAAUUUUUUUUACUUUCAAAAUAAUAAAAUAAAUAAAAAUUAAUCAAAAUAAUUCGUCAUCGCUGAAAGAUCCAAAGCAACCUUUCACCCAGCAACAACCCCCUACAAAUCCAUCACACAAGCUCUUGAAGAAGAUAUGUGCCUCCCCAUGAGCACCACGAGCCCUUGAAGAAGAAGAAGAAAGACACAUAGGAGAAAUAACGAUAUUAUUUCGAUGCAAUUGUGAUGCAUCUACAAAAUUUGAUUUUUUUGGUCAAAACUAUGCAAAUUUGAUGCAAUCUUGAAACUUGUUUUUUUUUUUUUUGCCAAAAUGAUGAUUUUUUUUUUAUGCAAAAUCGAUGCUGUUUCGAUACUCUUGUGAUGCAAUCAUGAAAACUUAAUUUUUGGGCAAAAUGAUGCAAAAUCAAUGGUAUAUCGAUGCUCUGCGCUAAAAUUUGACGAAAAUUUUGGUAAGCCACAACUUUUUGCUUAAAUUUCUGUUUUAGUUGAUUUUUUUUAAUCUUAGUAUUUUUUUUCGAGAUCUAUACGUUUAUUAUAUUUAAAGUCUUAAAAUUUUGAUGUAGAAUACAAAAAUUAAUCAUAGGUGCACAUUAAUGUGAGAGUGAGUGAGAAGUUUAAUGAAAUAUGUAUUAUAGUCAAAAUUAUAUAAAAUUACAUAUAUUUGGGAUGCCUAUUAAAUUUUCCAUAUAGAUGAAAUAGAAUAUAUUACUAAGCAUAUAACUUGAAAUUUCUCUUAUAUAAUUAUGCGUUUUUUAUUCUAAAUCAAGAAAUUGUGCGUUUUUUAUUUUAGUGUUUUCUUUUGUUGUAUAAGCAAAUUUUAGUGUUUUCUUUUGUCUACCUAUUUGCCCAUUUUGAUUAUCUAACGCGUGUUUGUUUUGAAGAUUAAUAUGGUCUUUCUUAUGAUUUUUUAGUUUUAUUUGAGUAUCAGUUGUAUUAAAACUAAAUUAGGUUUGGGAAAAGAAAGUUUGAGAAUGGCAACUGAAGAAGCAUUACACAAAACACCCUAGGAAAUGGGAUAGGGAAAGGUGAGCAUGAUCGAAGCCUAUCAGCGUGUAGUAGUAGUUGUAGUAGUCUAGAUUUCGUGGAUUUUGGUUUAAACCAGGACUUAGUUGGUGUUGACGCGGUUCUUCGCCAACAUGUAAUUAAGAAAGUAAGAGAAUGUGAUUAGUGCUAAGUGUUGAACUGAAAUGGAUGAGUGAUCUUAAUGUAA